rnacentral:rRNA from 1 species
UACGUAGGGUGCAAGCGUUGUCCGGAAUUAUUGGGCGUAAAGAGCUUGUAGGCGGUUUGUCGCGUCUGCUGUGAAAUUUCGGGGCUCAACCCCGAACUUGCAGUGGGUACGGGCAGACUAGAGUGUGGUAGGGGAGACUGGAAUUCCUGGUGUAGCGGUGAAAUGCGCAGAUAUCAGGAGGAACACCGAUGGCGAAGGCAGUUCUCUGGGCCACUACUGACGCUGAGAAGCGAAAGCAUGGGGAGCGAACAGG